CGGAGGGGGCAAGCGUUGUUCGGAAUCAUUGGGCGUAAAGGGCGCGUAGGCGGCCGAUCAAGUCGGGUGUGAAAUCCCUCGGCUCAACCGAGGAACUGCAUUCGAUACUGACUGGCUCGAGUCCGGGAGGGGAUGGUGGAAUUCCCAGUGUAGCGGUGAAAUGCGUAGAUAUUGGGAAGAACACCGGUGGCGAAGGCGGCCAUCUGGACCGGAACUGACGCUGAGGCGCGAAAGCCAGGGGAGCGAAUGGG
rnacentral:rRNA from 1 species